UUUUAGAGCCGCCUUAUAAUCAGACUUAUGUAUUUGAUCCUUAUUUUGAUUUCGUAUUCUAUCCUUAUUACUAAAUGAUAUACGCUAAAUUUUUGUUUACAUUACUAUUAUAUUUAUACUUUAUUAUUCAUUUAUUUUUCAAUUGAGUUUAAAGUUAAGGAUAGAAGUCCAAUUCAUUUCUUUUCUUACGCUUUUCUGGUUCACCAAAUUUAAAAUUCAACAUUGUAGUAAAUUAAAAUAAUUAGCCUUUGCUAAAAUAAUAUAUUUUGUAAAAUGAUUUCAGUAAAUAUUCUCCAUCACCAAUAUUAGUAUUGACUUUUGAAUAAUAUUUUACAUAGAAUAUAUUAUGCGAUAUUUUGAUAAAAUUCGUCAUAUAAAUGUUUGUGCAUUCUUUAUUUAUUGAUUUAGUUGCUCUUUCAUUUUGAUGAACUUGGCUACCAACUUUGAGAAUGAGACCGACCAUCUGCAUCAGAAUUAGAACAGAGCUAGUAUAAUCGACUCUUCUUAGCAGUUAGAACCAAAGCUAGUAUGAUCGACUCUUCUUAGCAGUUAGAACCAAAGCUAGUAUGAUCGACUCUUCUUGAGUUUCAAAAAGAAUUAUUCUUGAGAAAAUCUCAGCUUAGUUUGAGCUUAACAACUCAUCAAAUAAUUCCAUCAUCGGUUUGAUUGUUUGUGGCUUCUUCACCCGAUGGAAUUAUGGAUUGUGAAUUUGUGGUCUUCUUCAUGUUUGAAUGUUACUUAUGAUCCCGAAUAGUGUCAUGUUAUAUGGUCUUCGAUUCACAAAUUUAGUAAUAAAUUGUGAUAACCUGGUCUACUAUAAUCUGUUUGGUUUGUCUAAUUAUAUUUAUUUUUAUCAAACCAAAACUCAAUUCUUUUAUUCACUUUAAUCUAACCCGUAUAUUUCUAUCAGCAUAUAUAUCUCCUUCUACCUAAAGUCAAGUUGUCAUCUUCUUUGUAUCGUAAACAUUGAUGCUUCUCACCAGCACCUCCUUUUUCUUAUCUUCUCUUCUUCCCCUCCUUCAGACUUCGUAUGGUUCUUGGUUCGUCCCUCAAACCCUCCUCUCCGUUUAUGUAUGCGAAAAAGACGUUGUGUUCGUUUCCAAUCGUCACCACCAAUGUUGUCCAUAGAGUGAUAGAGUCAUCUCAUCUUUACUCUUGUUGGUAUUAUGUAGCGGAACCGAAACGUGGAUGAGAGCGACGUCGGAGCUGCCGCCUUUCACCAUCACUGGACGCUGGAAUCUUCACAAUCCACCGGAGAUCUGCACCGUUACCAUAAACCCUAUAACUCCCACCCAAAACCCUCUACACUUGUUCACGGAUCUCAUCGCUCUCCGAGAAAGAAGAUGGAGGAGGAUCGUGAACUCACAGAGAAAUUUACAACAUAUAAAUAUCUCAAAAGAAAUUUUUGAGUUUUGAUAAAUAAAAGAAAUUACAAACUAUUUUUAAAAUGUUAACAUUUUAGUAGUUUUCAAAUAUAAAUAGUUUUUAGUAUUUUUGAUAAGUAAGAAAGAGUUAUAAAAUAUUAACUUAGUAUUUGGUACUUUUGAUUGAAAACAAUAAUAUAACAUUGUUGGAUAUCUUGAAUAAUUUUUUUUUAAAAUAAUACAAAAGGGAUAAAAAUGAGAUCACUACAGGAAACGUGGGUAUUAAUAGCUGGCGUUAAACGCUAUAAGUUCGUUUUAAUAGUGUUUCCUAAAACACUCUGACAGCACCCGUUAUCAUAGGUCCGACUCUUUUGAUAGCAGAUUUGUUGUAUGCUAUAAUUAAAUAUACAACGAUAGCAUUAAUUUCUUUGCAAUUGUUAAUAUUUAUAAUAACGUCAUAGAAAUGUUAUUAAACCCCACUAAUUUGAUUUUUACUAUUGCAGUUUGUCAUCCAUUUUACAGAUUUGGCUUUUUUAAUUGUAGCUUUUAUGAUUCCAGUUAAUUUUAUAAAUGCAAUUUCUUUUAGAAAUACAAAAGAAAAUGAAAGUGCAAAUUUUACAUUAAACAUGAAAAGUUUACAAAUCUUACUUCCAUCCAAACGUAUCAAGUUCAACAAACACCAACAACAUAAAUUUCCCCAUGAUCAUAACACCAACAACAAAAUAUCCCCAUGUCCACUGUCAGUGUUUUCUUCAUAUUCAUCCUCUGAAUUAACCUCAUCUUCACACAGAUCAUGCUCACAAACUCAAGAAC